UUCAAAACUGUGAAUUAAGUUUGCAUUUAAAUUAUCUGGGAUUGCCAGAAGGAAUUAUAUUUUUAAAUUUCUAAUUAUUUUUACCUGUUGCAGAAUGUAGCAAAUAGAUUGUUUGCCUGCAUGUAUACUAAGCGUUGGUGUCUUUAUUGAACAUUUUAAGAAACAGAAAACAGAUUUAGCAAGGAAAUAUUGCAAACCACCCCGCAGCAGCCUUCAGUCUUUGUGUGGGUGCAGUCUCCGGCCUCACCGUCUUUGUACAAACUGUCACAGGCCAGGUGAUGAAGCCACGCACAAAGGAAGGCAGCUCUGAAUACAGUACUUAAGUAUUCAUCACAUACAAAGGAAAUAACUUGAUGCUGUAUCAAAAAUCGGAUAUCCCCAGUCUUGGGUAUGAAUCCUGUCUCUGCUUGCUGAUAAUCUGGAGGACUCGCACAACACUGUCUCUCACUGAGUCUCUGACAACAGGACACAGGGAAAGCAGCCACUGAAGCCAUGCGAUGUGGGUCUUCCCCGAGGAAGGAACCUUGAGCUGCCAGCUUUGCAGGAGCUUUGCUUAGCCUCCCCAGAGCACACGGGGUGCCACCCGCCUGACUGUCUGAAGGCAAAGCUUGACCUCGCCUGAUCCCUGGGUAUUCAGGGCCUCCGGCAGAGGAGACGCAAGAUUCUGGCCAGUGACCCGUCACGGUGAAAUCAAUAGGGAAAAGCUGACAGUGCAUGGCCUCGAGGUGUGAGCAGGGCUGCCACGUGCCUGUGCCUGCAGUGUCCACCGUCUGCAUGGAGACCUUGACUGCGUCGCCCCCUCAGGCCGGGCAAUCGUCAUUUCCAGUGUGGCACCCACAAUGUGAUGAAUCGGCACCAGUACAAGGUAAACACAGGCCUAG